rnacentral:lncRNA from 1 species
AGAAUUCCUUCUGUGUUUUUUGUUGUUAUUAAAAUUCAUAGCAUAUAAUUGUUUAAAAAAAAAAAAAGAUUCAUAGCAUAUAAUGGAUUGUAGAACAUUUGAAACUUGAGUUUCGCUUAUGAAUCGCUCAAAUUUUACUCAUUUGUUUAACUCAUUAAUAAAUUAAGGACACAUGCAAAACAUCUUCUCUAGCUGGUACGUCGGAUCAUUGCGCGAGUUCAAAUUUUGGUACCGGACUUCAAGUGUCUCGUCAAGCUUGUUGAAGAGUCCGCAUCGAUUGAGAGAUGAUAUGAAUAAAUGUUUGUAAGUGGGAACAAUCAUCAUAUCUUACAAAUCGAUUUUGAAGGGUUGUGUUAGGUUCAACCACGAUUCUAAAAAAGCUAACUCCAAUAUAUCGGUCCGAGCUAUAUGAUGAUCUAUGAAAUUUGUUGGUUAAUUACUAAUUAGCUAUUUGUCUUAGAUAUGAUUAAAGAUUUUUUAGAUACCGUUGUUCACUUCUUCUCCACCAAGCACGGAAGUUUAAGGAUAACUGUAGGUCGGUGGCUACCUAAGGAGACUCCGACCUACAGUUAUCCUUAAACUUCCGUGCUUCUUCUCCACCAAGCACGGAAGUUUAAGGAUAAUUGUAGGUCUUUUGUUAAAUGUAGUUACAAUAAUCUUAGAUAUGCCAUGAAUCAAUGUUUACAAGUAAGGACAAUCAUCAUCUUACUAGUCUGAUUUAUAAGUGAGAACAAUUAUUAUUUUACAAGUUAGUUUUGUAAAUUAACAAGUUGGUUUUUUUAGGUUAAGUCCAACCCAAAUUCUAAAAUAGUAUUAGAGUCUAUCAAAUAUCAUUUCGAUUAUUUGUUAUCAUAUGUUAUCAGGUCAUCAUUAUUAAACCACUUGGUCACAUUUCAGGUGUCUCGUCUUAGUCUUAUGUGUGUUAAGAGUUUCACUUAAAUGAUAUAUGGCCUCAAUCAUUAUUUUACAAACUAGUUUUACAAACUAGUUUUGUAUGAUAACAACUUGUUAGGUGAGUAUUAUCUCCAAACAAUUUUUCAUGGGCCUGAUUUUUAGCUAGAGCCGAAGAGAAAACAUGCUUUAACUUCUCCUCUUGGUGUAAUAACUCUUCGGCAUUUUUUCAAAGUGGUUAACACUAUUCUUUACUACGUGUUCAAGUUUUUCUCUUUGGUUGUUCUUGACUGAUUUUCUAGGCUUGAAUAUUUCUUGUAUCCUUGUACUAAAGUACUUUUUUUUUAGGUAACUAAAGUACAUUUGUUGUCAAUUUAAUUAUUUGGCUUACCAAAAAAUAUACAGAAAAAUGUUAUAUAGAGCAUAAAA